UAUUACAACUUUCAACAACGGAUCUCUUGGUUCUGGCAUCGAUGAAGAACGCAGCGAAAUGCGAUACGUAGUGUGAAUUGCAGAAUUCAGUGAAUCAUCGAAUCUUUGAACGCACAUUGCGCCCUUUGGUAUUCCAAAGGGCAUGCCUGUUCGAGCGUCAUU
rnacentral:rRNA from 1 species